CUUGGUCAUUUAGAGGAAGUAAAAGUCGUAACAAGGUUUCCGUAGGUGAACCUGCGGAAGGAUCAUUACUGAAGAAAUGGUAGAGUUGUUGAGCUGGCUCCUUAGGAGUAUGUGCUCGCUCUGUCGCUUUUUCUACCCUCCACUGUGCACCUCUUGUAGGCUUACGAUGUUUCAGCUCGAAAGGGUUGGAUUCAGAGGGAGCUAGCAUUUCACUUGCUUGGCCUUCGACUUCGUAGCCUAUGUCUUACAUACACUCUGUCAAAGUAUAUGAAUGUGUAUCGUUGGUCUUUGACCGAUAAACUAUAUACAACUUUCAGCAACGGAUCUCUUGGCUCUCGCAUCGAUGAAGAACGCAGCGAAAUGCGAUAAGUAAUGUGAAUUGCAGAAUUCAGUGAAUCAUCGAAUCUUUGAACGCACCUUGCACUCCUUGGUAUUCCGAGGAGUAUGCCUGUUUGAGUGUCAUUAAAUUCUCAAAACCUAUUAUUCUUCUUGAAUGGGUAGGCUUUGGAUGGUGAGGGCUUUGCUGGCCUUUGACAGGCUCAGCUCCCUUCAAAUGCAUUAGUGGUUGCUGAUCCGCUUUCAAUUGGUGUGAUAGUUAUCUACGCCUUUUGAAGUGGAAUUGAUUGCUUAUCCGCUUCUAACCGUCUACUUAUGUUGGACAACUCUUGACCAUUUGACCUCAAAUCAGGUAGGACUACCCGCUGAACUUAAGCAUAUCAAUAAGCGGAGGA
rnacentral:rRNA from 1 species